rnacentral:rRNA from 1 species
UACGUAGGGUGCAAGCGUUGUCCGGAUUUAUUGGGCGUAAAGAGCUCGUAGGCGGUUUGUCGCGUCGGAUGUGAAAACCCAAUGGCUUAACCUUGGGCCUGCAUUCGAUACGGGCAAACUAGAGUGUGGUAGGGGAGACUGGAACUCCUGGUGUAGCGGUGGAAUGCGCAGAUAUCAGGAAGAACACCGAUGGCGAAGGCAGGUCUCUGGGCCAUAACUGACGCUGAGGAGCGAAAGCGUGGGGAGCGAACAGGAUUAGAUACCCUGGUAGUCCACGCCGUAAACGGUGGGCGCUAGGUGUGGGGAUUGUUUCCACGAUCUCCGUGCCGUAGCUAACGCAUUAAGCGCCCCGCCUGGGGAGUACGGCCGCAAGGCUAAA